rnacentral:rRNA from 1 species
UACGAAGGGGGCUAGCGUUGUUCGGAUUUACUGGGCGUAAAGCGCACGUAGGCGGAUCUUUAAGUCAGAGGUGAAAAUCCCAAGGCUCAACCUUGGAACUGCCUUUGAUACUGGGGAUCUCGAGUUCGGGAGAGGUGAGUGGAACUGCGAGUGUAGAGGUGAAAUUCGUAGAUAUUCGCAAGAACACCAGUGGCGAAGGCGACUUACUGGACACAUAUUGACGCUGAGGUGCGAAAGCGUGGGGGAGCAAACAGG